ACGUAGGUGGCAAGCGUUGUCCGGAAUUAUUGGGCGUAAAGGGUGCGCAGGCGGUCUCUUAAGUCUGUCUUAAAAGUGCGGGGCUUAACCCCGUGAGGGGACGGAAACUGGGAGACUGGAGUAUCGGAGAGGAAAGCAGAAUUCCUAGUGUAGCGGUGAAAUGCGUAGAUAUUAGGAGGAAUACCAGUGGCGAAAGCGGCUUUCUGGACGCCAACUGACGCUGAGGCACGAAAGCCAGGGGAGCGCACGG
rnacentral:rRNA from 1 species